GGAGGAGGAGGAGGGCAGCCGUGUAGAAGGAAGGAAGGACAGAAGGAGGAAAAGAAGGGGAGGUCUGGAACUGUGGGUCUCCUGGAGAGAAAAUGCCUCCCUUCCUUGCUAUUCCGAAAGAGAGAAGGCAAAGCACCGUCUCCACGCACGCCUGGCUUUCCGCGCGCCCUCUCCCCACGCGAGUUUCCCUCCCCUUCCUUUCUCCCUUCCUUCCUUAGGAGAGGGGCUUUUCCUAGGAUCCCAGCAGCAGCCACGGCCUUCCUCCUGAGCCGCCUGGGCCUUCUUUCAAAAGGAUACAAGCUGAAAUCCUAGCCGUUUGCGAUCGAUACGCGAGGAGACCUUCUCUGGCACCACGAGAUGCAAAGCCACCCUUAAGAAAUGGGGCCACAAAGUGGAGUCCACGACAUGAGUGUGGAGAAGAGCAAACCACAGACCACCUCACAACCUCUGAGGAUGCCUGCCAUAGAUGUUGGCGAAAGGUCAGGAGAGAAUACUUCUGGAACAUGGCCACACAGCCCGAAAGACAUACAACCACCCCACAGACCACCUAUUUACAAUGCAGCCUGAGCCCUGCCACAUGCACAAUGGAGAACCUUCUUAUAGCAACACCAGAGUCACUCCAAGUGGUCAAAGGACAUUUAGCAUAAUGCCAAGUUAACUUUGUGUUUUUAAAUACAUAACAGCUUCUGAUAUGAUAAAUAAAUAAAUAACUUUCUCUUU